GGAUAGACUAGCUGUGGGAGGAAUGCGCGUGCGCCGUGGCACCGCCCACAACGCGUGGUGGGCGUGUUUUCCCCGCCUCCAGGGCGGAGCCCAAGAGCGAUUGGUCCCCGUUUUGGGCCUCCCAGGAUUGACUGGCCCUUCCACCCAACCAGGGCGGUCUACACCCUCUCACAUCACUUCCGCCCUCGCCUGGGAGCGCCUCUCGCCCCGUCGCGUUUAUCGAGGAGACAGGUGAAAACUGAGGUUUAGAGAGGGUAAAUAACUUGCCCAAAAUCUGGAAAAGUUUGCCAACCCCUGGUCUUACUCCUCAUUAAGACUGUUUUGCAGGCCUAAGACUUAUGCAGAGGUGGCGCCCGCCCGUAAUCCCAGCACUUCGGGAGGCCGAGACGGGCGGAUCGCUUGAGACCAGCCAGGAUAACAUGGCGAAACCACAUCUCUACAACAAAUACAAAAAUUAGCUGGGCGCGGUGGCACACGACUGUGGUUCCAGUUACUCGGCAGGCGGAGGUGGAAGGAUCCCUUGAGCCUCUGGAGGUGGAGGUUGCAGUGAGCUGUGAUUGCGCCACUGCACUCCAGCCUGGGCGACAGAGUGAGACCCUGUCAGAAAACAAAACAAAACAAAAGAAUUCUGUAAGAACUUCUAACAGGUACAUUCCUGUAAGCAUUACCCACCACUGGACUAGGCACUGGGUAGCCUGUAAAAUACAGUAAGAGCCGUCUCUGCACCCAGAAAAUUUACCAUCAUUUUGUGCUGGAAAGACAUGCCCUAGAAAACAAUAAACAGCACGACUGUACAUGAUUCCAUGCCAAAUGACUGCUAGGAAUUAUUUUAUUAAUCCAUUCAACAAAUACUUAUUGAGUAACCACUAUUAGCCAGCCACCGUUUUCCGUGUGAGGACAUAAAAAUGAGUGAGACAAGGUCUCUGCCAUCAAAAAACGAACAGAUCAGUGAGGAAAGACGGAUGUGUCAAGAAAGGCUUUGCAGGUCGAGCGCGGUGAAUCACGCUUGUAAUCCCAGCACACUGGGAGGCAGAGGCAGGCGGAUCAUUUGAGGUCAGGCGCUCGAGACCACCCUGGCCAACAUGGCGAAACUCCAUCUCUACUAAAAAUACAAAAAUUAUCCGGGCAUGGUGGUGCAGGCUUGUAAUCUCAGCUACUCAGGAGGCUGAGGCAGGAGAAUCAUUUGAACCCAGGAGGCAGAGGUUGCAGUGAGCCAUGAUCAUGCCACUGCACUCCAGCCUGGGUGAGCGAGACUCCAUCUCAAAAAAAAAAAAAAAAAAAAAAAAGAGGGAGAGAAAGACUUUACAGAGCUGGUAACACUUAUCCUGGCCUGGAAAGAAAGAAAGAAAGCUUCCUAUGACGCCCUCUGGAUAAAACUUA
rnacentral:lncRNA from 1 species